GGUGAACGCUGGCGGUAGGCCUAACACAUGCAAGUCGAACGGCAGCACAGGAGAGCUUGCUCUCUGGGUGGCGAGUGGCGGACGGGUGAGGAAUACAUCGGAAUCUACUCUGUCGUGGGGGAUAACGUAGGGAAACUUACGCUAAUACCGCAUACGACCUACGGGUGAAAGCAGGGGACCUUCGGGCCUUGCGCGAUUGAAUGAGCCGAUGUCGGAUUAGCUAGUUGGCGGGGUAAAGGCCCACCAAGGCGACGAUCCGUAGCUGGUCUGGGAGGAUGAUCAGCCACACUGGAACUGAGACACGGUCCAGACUCCUACGGGAGGCAGCAGUGGGGAAUAUUGGACAAUGGGCGCAAGCCUGAUCCAGCCAUACCGCGUGGGUGAAGAAGGCCUUCGGGUUGUAAAGCCCCUUUGUUGGGAAAGAAAUCCAGCUGGCUAAUACCCGGUUGGGAUGACGGUACCCAAAGAAUAAGCACCGGCUAACUUCGUGCCAGCCGCCGCGGUAA
rnacentral:rRNA from 1 species